GCGAAAUUUAAUUAACCAUUACCUACCAUACCUUCUUAAUGUUUACGUGAAAGAUAUUAAUUUUCUAAAUGGUGUUUUAAAAAAGUUUAUCAAAUUUAACAAACCAGUCACUACAAUUCAAGGCAACUUUCACGCCUUAAUAUAUCAAAAUGCGUGUGAUGCAAAUAAAAAUUAACAGGAGGGCGGUGCUUCCUACUUCAACAAGAAAUUUUAAACAUCAUAAUGUUUACAGAUAAUGAAAUGAAAAGCCCGUAAACUCUUUUGGGGUGUUGAUAUAAAAGUAGAUUAAUUCUGUUCUUGGUGUAUUUUCUGCAUAAAAUCAACAACAGUACACAAUGGUAAAUUUGUUCAUAGUGGAAGUAUAAUUUGUUUUCCUUUAUUAUAUCUUCCGUGUCUUUUAAAUUGAUUAUUUCUAUUUUUUGUUCAUUUUGCAGUUUCGGUACUUCUUGCUUUUUUAUUGACCUUUUUAUUGCUAACGGAAGAUGUUAACGGCGGCUGGAGAAGAAGAUUUAGAAAGUUCGUUAAAAAAGCUGCAAAAGUUGCCAAAACUGUGGCCACCGCACACACAGUUGCAAAGGUCGCAGCAGGAGUGGUUGGAAAAAGAUCUACAGACGACGAGAUUAUUAGAGUGAGUGUUUGUGAUUUCUAUGCAUUCGAUAUCUGGAUGGUGAUCAGCAAAUCAGUGAAACAGAGUUGUCGACAUUCAUUGAUAUGACUGGAUUUGAAGAUUUAGAUGAAUUCUUUGAGAAAUUGGAUGUCAACCAAGAUGAUGUCGUCACUAUUGAAGAAUACAUCAACUCACUGUUGAUAAAGGAAAACUGCAAUUGAUUGUUAGACUCGAUCUUUCUUUCGUAGUUUUUCUGAUAUGAAAAAGUUUUUGUAU
rnacentral:sRNA from 1 species